CCUACGGGAGGCAGCAGUGAGGAAUAUUGGUCAAUGGACGAGAGUCUGAACCAGCCAAGUAGCGUGAAGGAUGACUGCCCUAUGGGUUGUAAACUUCUUUUAUAUGGGAAUAAAAUGUUCCACGUGUGGGAUUUUGUAUGUACCAUAUGAAUAAGGAUCGGCUAACUCCGUGCCAGCAGCCGCGGUAAUACGGAGGAUCCGAGCGUUAUCCGGAUUUAUUGGGUUUAAAGGGAGCGUAGGUGGAUUGUUAAGUCCGUUGUGAAAGUUUGCGGCUCAACCGUAAAAUUGCAGUUGAAACUGGCAGUCUUGAGUACAGUAGAGGUGGGCGGAAUGCGUGGGGUAGCGGUGAAAGGCUUAGAUAUCACGAAGAACUCCGAUUGCGAAGGCAGCUCACUGGACUGCAACUGACACUGAGGCUCGAAAGUGUGGGUAUCAAACAGGAUUAGAUACCCUAGUAGUC
rnacentral:rRNA from 1 species